AUUGUGUGAUGUGCACUUGCGACGUAGCAAAUAACUGGACAUUACGUUGCCAGCCAUCCCAGCUUAAGCCAUCUAAUCAGUCGGCUUGCCCCUCAAUGCAAUGCGAGGGUUCAAAUUUACUCCUGGGCAACUCAACUUCGACAUCUUGUAACCGCACAACCUGUACCUAUGCUGGUUAUAUGAACUAAACUAUUCUAACAGUGCUCGUCAAUGAUAACACUUGUCCAGUUUCAAAUAGCUUCGCCAUGAAGGACAGUUUUCGGGCAUUUAGCUGGAACGUCUUCCUGAUUUUGAUCCUGCCCCUGCUCUCUUUCCAUCAUAUUCAGUGAUGACAUUUGUAUCAAAGACUGUCACCCUCGAUGCUUACUUCUAUGUCUGUCACCUUCAAUACACGCCGGUACGUCUGUAAGUGUUGCGCAUGUCACAGAGAUGUGAGGUGCCUGUUUUAUCCUUUGGCACUUCUGUACCAUAGAAUUGUAGCUUCCCUUGUUCCAAUGGAAAAAUUCGAUUCUUC